GGGGUUGUAGCUCAGUGGUAGAGCACUUGCCUCGCAUGUAUGAGGCUCUGGGUUUGAUCCUCAGCACCA
rnacentral:tRNA from 1 species